CGUAGGGUGCAAGCGUUAAUCGGAAUUACUGGGCGUAAAGCGUGCGCAGGCGGUAAUGUAAGACAGUUGUGAAAUCCCCGGGCUCAACCUGGGAACUGCAUCUGUGACUGCAUUGCUGGAGUACGGCAGAGGGGGAUGGAAUUCCGCGUGUAGCAGUGAAAUGCGUAGAUAUGCGGAGGAACACCGAUGGCGAAGGCAAUCCCCUGGGCCUGUACUGACGCUCAUGCACGAAAGCGUGGGGAGCAAACAGGAUUAGAUACCCUGGUAGUCCACGCCCUAAACGAUGUCAACUGGUUGUUGGGUCUUCACUGACUCAGUAACGAAGCUAACGCGUGAAGUUGACCGCCUGGGGAGUACGGCCGCAAGGUUG
rnacentral:rRNA from 1 species